rnacentral:miRNA from 1 species
GCAGAGAGAAGACAGAAAGAGAGUGAGCACAGGAGGAUAAUUAUCUCAGACCUCUUGCUGCUAUCUUGGGCAGUCUAGAUGUGCUUAAAUGCC